UGGGGAAUAUUGCGCAAUGGGGGGAACCCUGACGCAGCCAUGCCGCGUGAAUGAAGAAGGCCUUUGGGUUGUAAAGUUCUUUCGGUAUUGAGGAAGGUUGAUGUGUUAAUAGCACAUCAAAUUGACGUUAAAUACAGAAGAAGCACCGGCUAACUCCGUGCCAGCAGCCGCGGUAAUACGGAGGGUGCGAGCGUUAAUCGGAAUAACUGGGCGUAAAGGGCACGCAGGCGGUUAUUUAAGUGAGGUGUGAAAGCCCUGGGCUUAACCUAGGAAUUGCAUUUCAGACUGGGUAACUAGAGUACUUUAGGGAGGGGUAGAAUUCCACGUGUAGCGGUGAAAUGCGUAGAGAUGUGGAGGAAUACCGAAGGCGAAGGCAGCCCCUUGGGAAUGUACUGACGCUCAUGUGCGAAAGCGUGGGGAGCAAACAGGAUUAGAUACCCUGGUAGUCCACGCUGUAAACGCUGUCGAUUUGGGGGUUGGGGUUUAACUCUGGCGCCCGUAGCUAACGUGAUAAAUCGACCGCCUGGGGAGUACGGCCGCAAGGUUA
rnacentral:rRNA from 1 species